ACACCACUGCUAAAUUUGAUUUCAUUCAGCCUGGGAAGAACUUCAAAAGUUGCCUCUGUUGAAGACCACCAAAAACGAAGCAAGUCAGAUAUCAGGGCAGCAGCCAAAGCAAAAAGACCGGAUAGCAUGAAAAAUCAAUGUCUGCAGGGACUUUAAGCACCAAACAACUAAAGCAAUUGAAAAAAGCUGAUAAAGAAAGAUAACACACUCAAGUAAUUAAAAAGCUGAUAAACACAAAAUAACAGUUGAAGGAAUAAGGGGCCAAAAAUGCAAUAAAGAGAAAUAUAUCAAGUAAAAAACAUGUCUUCUUUUUUUUUCGGAAGUAUGAAACCGUGUCAAUUAGGUUGCAGAAUCAGAUUCAGUCACUGAUUUCAUCGUGUACUAAUAUCUAAUUCUCUUUUCCUGAUCAGUAACAAUUCCCCUGUAAUAUUUCUAUCAAUUAUAAAUCAGUUCUCCAUCUAUGUUCAUUGUUUAGUUCCUCCUCUUCACCGCAUAAUCUGAUGAUUGUUGAGUCAGACGCCUUAAGACUUAAGAGGCUUUACAAUUAUCGGUUUCCACAUGUUCUGACAACUAAAGGUACAAAGGAAGUAUGAGACCAGCAAUACAAAUGUCAAAGGACAAUCACAUGGGCCAAGGAUCAAUGUAUUAUAUAUGAUAAGAGUUGGCACAGUCACUUCACCAAUCUGCUCUUCAAUUUUAGUCACUGGGAUCCACCCGUACAGACCUUUUCGAUUUAAUAAAAUAGUCACUUGGAUCCACCCGUGACCUUUUCUUUUUUUAAUGUAUUUAAGAAAUUACAUCACAUAUAUUCGAUAUUUACAAUUCUAAAGCAACACUUCAAGAGCACUAUCCACCAAUGAUUCUAGCACUUAUACUAAUCCACCAAGACCAUACUGUAUAUAUGAGCAUCUUAAGAGUUCAAAUAUAGGUUUACACUUCUCUUCCUUUUUUGGGUUCUUUUUGGUGCUCAAGAGACAUUGACUCUAAAGUUCCAGGUUAGGAAUUUAUUGAAAUUCUAAUUUGGAUAUGCACGGUUACUUUUUUGACUAGCAACAUUCAGGUUUAGCAAGGGACAUGCAUUUUUUAAUGCUAUAUUUACACAGUUCCAUUUAAUGCAGUUUCGAAGUGUCAGUUCCUCCAAGAAUUCUACCCUCUUCUUCAAAGGGGUAAAUUGAAGCUUUGUUGCAUAACAGUUCCUUUUGAUCCAAGAAAGACCACAUCAACUAUCACUACGGCCCCACGGAGGUGAAACUAGACAAUAUAUAGUGUAAUUAUGCAUAUGAGUGUCUGAUACAAACUGAAAUUUAACUUCCAUGCAGACCAAGUUAUAUUCACCAAUUCUACCCCAUACCUCCUACAGCCCCAAGGAAAUGUUCUCAAGUUCAAAGUAAAGCAAUUGUAUUUCCUACAUAAAUAGUGGUUUAACUCUUAUAUCAAGAAUGGCUACUAGCUGAUAGAACA